rnacentral:rRNA from 1 species
CCUACGGGUGGCUGCAGUAGGGAAUCUUCCACAAUGGGCGCAAGCCUGAUGGAGCAACGCCGCGUGUGUGAUGAAGGCUUUCGGGUCGUAAAGCACUGUUGUAUGGGAAGAAAUGCUAAAAUAGGGAAUGAUUUUAGUUUGACGGUACCAUACCAGAAAGGGACGGCUAAAUACGUGCCAGCAGCCGCGGUAAUACGUAUGUCCCGAGCGUUAUCCGGAUUUAUUGGGCGUAAAGCGAGCGCAGACGGUUGAUUAAGUCUGAUGUGAAAGCCCGGAGCUCAACUCCGGAAUGGCAUUGGAAACUGGUUAACUUGAGUGUUGUAGAGGUAAGUGGAACUCCAUGUGUAGCGGUGGAAUGCGUAGAUAUAUGGAAGAACACCAGUGGCGAAGGCGGCUUACUGGACAACAACUGACGUUGAGGCUC